AGUCGAACGAAGCUUGACGGAUGAUUUCUUCGGAAUGAAACCAGAUAUGACUUAGUGGCGGACGGGUGAGUAACACGUGAGCAACCUGCCUUUCAGAGGGGGAUAACGGCUGGAAACGGUCGCUAAUACCGCAUGAUGUGUUCGGAUGGCAUCAUCUGAACAUCAAAGAUUUAUCGCUGAAAGAUGGGCUCGCGUCUGAUUAGAUAGUUGGUGGGGUAACGGCCUACCAAGUCUACGAUCAGUAGCCGGACUGAGAGGUUGAACGGCCACAUUGGGACUGAGAUACGGCCCAGACUCCUACGGGAGGCAGCAGUGGGGAAUAUUGCACAAUGGGGGAAACCCUGAUGCAGCAACGCCGCGUGAAGGAUGACGGUUUUCGGAUUGUAAACUUCUUUUCUUAGUGACGAAGACAGUGACGGUAGCUAAGGAAUAAGC
rnacentral:rRNA from 1 species